AGUAAUAUUUAUAUAUAUUCGAAAUACAUACGAGUGCCUCGGUGAUGGGUGACAAUGGACCUUCCCGUAGGCAGGAAUCUUGAUGAUUAUGAUCACUUACGUUAUAUAUAUACACGAUAUUGCAUUUCCAAGCGAAUUUUGCGUCACUUUUAUACGUGCGUAGUAUAACUGUGAGUCACCGAAAGACGGAUUCAUGAUUUUUCCCGGAACUCCGUCUUUGCACCGAUAUGGAAACACCGCCCCCCACCGGGAGUUACGACGACAUGCUUCCAACUCAUAAAAACCGUCCCAUGAAAAUACUAGGCACUAACUUCAACUGAAAUACAGGAAGUGGCCCUAUCGUGGAUACUAAACCUCGUUUUACAAUUUUUCCAAACUCAUUGCGUCGGUGAGGGCAGUGUGCGGCUAAACAUUUGUGCCUGUGAUCGGAAGGUUCCAGCACGGCUUCAGCAAGUCUGUGGGUCCUUGAGAAAGGCCCUUAAGGUGCAGCUCCCCGAGCGCCGCAACAGGUAGCUGCCCUUUGUGCUCAGCUCACUGUCACAUACAGAGAGCAAGAUGGGGGAGGUGAAAAAAGAACUUCUCCGAGGGGAUCAAUUAUCAUCAUCAUCAUCCCCAGAGGAGUCUUACUUUUAAGAGCUGAAUCGCUGAAAUUAAAACAUUCGGGAAUAAUGUGUUUAAUACACAUAUUUAGUAAUGUUGUAAUCAAUUAUCAAUUAAAGUAACAAAGUAGUUUAACAUUUUC